AGCAGCAGCAGCAGUAUCGAGCAGCGAGGAGCGAGCGCCUCUCACCCACCUCCUUCCUCCCUCCACCGAGAAAAAAAAGAAAAAAAACACAAAUUCCCACCCAAACCAACCUGAGACAAGACUCCCAAAUAAUUCCAGAGAGGAGUCCAGAGCCCGACAUCCUCCCUCCCUUGAGCAGAGCGCCCGCCGCGUGUCCCUUGUUCCUCCCGCAGCAGGAGUAUCGAGCAGAGGGCGAGCCGAGUGCCGUGGCAACCCCGUCCGCCUCGCAUGUCAUGACCGAGCUCAGUCUCUAGGCCCGAAGAUGGACAGAAGGAAGCUCUCUCUUCCAUCCUCUGUGUAAGCAAUGCAAAGGGAGGAAGAGUCGAAGUUAGUUCUUUGCCGAGGGGAACUGAUGUAGGGAAAAUGGAGACUGACCCCUUGCUGCAAAACUAUUCGACGACGGGUGACUCAUUAUAUGAGACACUAGGGCUGCAGAAGCAAGCUACAACAGAUGAGAUCAAGAAGACGUACCGCAAAUUAGCACUUAAGUAUCACCCUGACAAGAACCCCAAUAAUCCCGAAGCUGCGGAAAAGUUCAAGGAAAUCAACCAUGCCCAUGGUAUUCUCAGCGAUGCUACAAAGAGGAACAUAUACGACAACUAUGGUUCACUUGGCCUUUACAUUGCCGAGCAGUUUGGCGAAGAAAAUGUCAAUACGUAUUUCUUAGUGAACUCUGGUUGGUGCAAGGCGCUCUUCCUCUUCUGUGGCCUGAUCACAGGUUGCUAUCUGUGCUGUUGCUUCUGUUGCUGCUUCAACUUCUGCUGCGGCAAAUGCAAACCUCGACCUCCAGAUGAGACUGGGGACUACCAUAAUCUCAACCCUGACCAAGCUGAGGGAGUUCAUACCGUUCAGCCUGGGACGUCGAGAAAGAAAGAGGACCUGAGUGACGACGAGGAGGGAAAGGCCGCUGGAGAACCGCCCGUGACCUCACAACCACCCCCAUCCACGAAUCCUUUCAGGACCCCUGGUGCCGGUGAGCCAAGUUCCGGCGGAGCCCCGCAGCCCGUGUUUGCCAUGCCUCCCCCCCAGCCGUCUCCCAACCCCACCAACCCCUUCGCCAUGGGGGCUGGGGCCACGGAGAACACGUCUCUCAACGCAAGCUCUCAACCCACAUAUUACACCCCAGAUUAAAUAAAGAGUAGUAGAAUCCCCCAGCCUGAAAAUAAUUUUGUUGCUGAGGAGUAGUUGAUUUUCUAAAGCAUUUAGGAGACUUAAGAGACAGAAUGUCACAGAAUGCCUCCCCUAGUCAUGGCCAGUACUGAGCAAGGGUCAAGUUACAAUAGAAUGAAUUUGCAGAACCAGUGGGAUUUGUCCCCUCCGGAGAUCUUGUUCUCCAAUGUCCUAGAUCCUCCUGUCUGCUGUGACUGUGGAAAGAUAUCAUGAUGUGUGUUUCGAUUAUCCCAGUGCGAGGCCUAGAAAGGACAACUUCAUUUGCAAUACUUUGUGUAAACCUUGAGUAUCCAGUGGCCGAGCUAGUGUUUGACUCGACCGAGAUUUGUUGAUGGAAUGUAGUGGAUUUUAAUUUAUUUUUUCUUGUUUUUGGAGAUAAUACCCUUUUAGUCAUGUUGUCUUUUCAGGCUGUUUUGUGUAACUGAUUGAAUGAUUAGAGAAUAUCCAUUUUGAUUUACAUUUACUUUUUUAUUUAAUUUUUUUCUGUCUUUCAUUUUUGUAUUCUGUUUCGAAGUAUUAAACCAGUAUUUUAUCUUGACUUGUUUCUUAAAACUUUGAAUUCUAUAUAUUUAGAGAAAAACAACGUGUAAAGUUACCUGUGUUCUAACACCACCACUUAGGUAUUACAUUCCAAUAGUGUUCAUUAACUUGUCAAAGGACAAUAUCUUAUCAAGGCAUUUUUAACUCUUUUUAACUCUCAAAUGGACACACAUUCGUCCCAUCAGUAAGGAGAUGCUAUAUGUAUGUAUCUCAAGCAUCCAUGAAAGGACUUGAUUCCUACAUUUUUUUUUUCCUUGAUGUCCUUCAGUAUCAAGAGAAAUACUGUGUUGUUAUAGUGUCUCUAUUUAAAGGACAUUAGUAAAAUUAAAACCAUUAUCAUUUUCUUGUAAUUUUUCUUUUAUUUUUCUUUCUUGCAUCUCUUAUUUAUUUUUGUACUGAUAGCUUGCAGAAUACAUACUUAACAGUGCCAAUGAUUUUUUUGUUUGCCCUAUUACUCUAUAUUUUUAUUUGGUAUCCAGAAACAAGCAACACCAGUUGUAUUUACUAGAUUUAUUUAUUUAGUUCUUAACGGUAAGUCAACCCAUUUACUAUAUGUGAUAUCCAAAGGUGUAGAUGUGCAUUAUUUGAUUUGUAUAUCAUUUUGUGUUAUAUCAGCUUCAUUUACAAACCUAAAUACUGCUUGUAUUUAUUUAGAUUUUUUUCUGUGUUUUCUCUAUAUCUAAAGAAAAAUUGGCUUUCUCUGUGUUUAGAAUCCAUGGUUAGAUGAAGAUGUAAAUAAUGGUGUUUGUUAAAAUAUGAUAUACACAUCUUGGUACUAUAUGCACCUUGAUUCCCAUGUAUUUAAUUAUGUCCGAGGCUGCAAUAAUUUGAAGGGAAGCUUUUAUUAACUAUUGAUAAUGCAAAAUAUGACCUCCACAGUGCUAUAUAUUAAUUCAAACAUGUUCCUUCUCGAAUAUCGAAAACUAGUCAGAGUAUGUUGUACUUUUUCUGUUUCAUAAGAACUUAAAAGCAUUGACUAUCAUCUGUUUCACUCUCUCUUGUGUAUCAUUACUUUGUUAGUUAAGUUAAUGGGAAAGGUUUCAGUGGAUAUAAAAAGAGCUAUAUUAUGACAAUGAUUUACUGUAACUGCACCGAAUAGUCAGUUUCCUUGUGCAUCUUUACUGUGUUUGUGAUUUGCAUGUCUGUGUACAACUUCAGAAUUGGUAUAAUGUAAGGGUAUUUUCUGCAUCCUUGGUAACUCCGCGGAUCUAGGAAGAACUUGUUAGGUACCUGGGCCUUUGGUAUGGGAAGGAGUUUCUGCUUUCUUAUGGGUAUUCGCGAACUUCUUUUUAUUCAUACCUACCUGGGUACGAAAAUUCUUUUGAACGAACCGUGGUGUACGACUUAUCAGACUCCUCCUGUAGAUAAUAUCCUUUACUUGUAUUUCUAGAACUGGGAUAUCUUUAAUACUAGAAAAAAUACAGUACAUCAUUGUAGAAAAUGUUUAGAGAAUUCAUUUCAUAAGUACUGUAGCAUCAUUGCCAUUAUGAUCAUUGUUGAUAUAUAUAAUUGUUAUGGUCGUGAAAAUAGAAUUUGGGAAGUAGUGUACGGCAGUUAUAAAGAGAACUUAUUCUGUGCACAGUUGUCCAUAGAAUUAGUGGGAAGAAAAAUAUAUAGAGGAAAAUAUCUUCAUUCGAGUUGCAUGUGAAACAUUCCAGUUGUAUGUAAAGAUGAUCGAGGUGACGUUUGAAAAAAAAAGUGGAAAACAGUGAGUAGUGUUAUACUAAUAUUGGCUGGAAGCAUUUGGUUUACACUUUUUUUUUUUUUUCUUUUUCUUUUUACUAUUUGUGUUUGUCAGAACUUAGAUCAGAAUAUCAAAAUACACUGUUUGCUUUCAUUGUCUUCAAGUUACUUUUUAAAAAUUGUACUUAUACCAGUUGUAGGUUUCACUUUCAUCUUUGCUUCUGCUUCCUCUUCCUCUUCCCCUUCUACUCUUCUUCUUUUUAUCCUUGUUCCUUUUUUGCCUCUUCCCUCUCCUGUUAUGCCUUAUCUCCUCUCUAUCACGUUUUUCUUAGCAGAGCAGGAAAUUUGAAAGUUAAUUACUUAAGUAAUUUGGGUGCAAUUCAUUUAUUUUGUUGACAUGCAAACUGGAUUACAUGAAAAGUUGAUUUAAUAUUGACUUAAUAUUACUGUAAUUUAUAUAUUGGCUUAAUAUUACUGUAAUUUAUAUAUUAGCUUAAUACUAAUGUUAUUUAUUUAAUACUAUCUCUUAUUUAUAUUGUGGUAUCAUGGCACUGCCAACCAGUGAAGAAAAGUCUUGAUGAUUUUCAAAAUUUAACAGUAUAUGCAGGGGAUUGGAGUGUACUUAGUGUUUGUGAGGGACAUGAACAAUUAAAGCAUUUGAAGAAUAUAUUGUAUGUCAAAUGUAAAGCAUAAUGAUGAGCCUAGGUCUAAUUAAUCACUAAUAAAAGAAAAAAAAAACUACUUGCAUUUUCUGUAAGCUUUGAACUCAUAUACAUUUAUAUAUAUACAUAUCUACACACAUUGAAAAGUCACAGGUACACACAGUACUCUUAUUAUUUCCAUCUAAACACUGCACGUUUUUUGAGUGCUUUUACUGACUUUGCUCUAAGUUCACACUACAUGUAUAAAGAGUAUCCAAAUUUUGAUUUUGUAAUAUAUAUAAGCUGUUAGAUGUAAAUUAGUUGCAAAAGGAAAUCCCACCCAGUCAUUUAGGUUGUCCUAAGGGUCCCUAAAUUUUGUCAACUGUUGUCCAUCAUCGCUGCCACAGUAUAGGGUUUGAUGCCUGAGGAACCCUGCCAAGGAACCUUUACGUGUGGGAAAAACCAUCAUUGCAUCGGCAGUGUUGCAUUUCUCCUCCAUCCAGUAGAAGCACAAGAGAUCAUCAAAAUGACAUGCUUUAUAACUUCAGAUCUUUUCUUUUUUAUAUAUACAUAUAUUUUCCUCUCGUUUAACUUUUCUUCAGGUCUUAUUCUCGUUCUUCCAUUUUAACUUGACAAAAAAGAAAAAAAAGGACAAUUUCUCCCCCUCUAUACAUGAUGCUGCAGUUUUACAUUGAUAUUCUGUCUGCAGUUAAUGCACCUUGUUCUAUGUGUCAUGAGGAUGAUGGGUAGAAUUAUGCUAAUGGUAUUGUGUAUAUAUUAUAAGUAAAAGUUCUGUAAUUCAUGUGUAUAUAUAUAGUGUCCAAAUUUUCCAUUCAAGCUUUCUGCAAUAUAGUAAUCAUAACGGUUGAAUGAAGGUAACGCAUGCUGUUCUAGUUUCUCCUCUGGAAGCACGAUUAUAUAUCAUCAUCUUUAGAAAACUUCUAAUCCAAUCUCAAGAGCAAUUGCAAAUCAAAUAUAAGCAUUGUUCUCUGCCGUCAUCCUCACUUUGUGUCUUACGACUUUACUGGAGAACUAACUAUGAGGUGUCGUCAGUCUGUAGGCCUUGUAUAUAAGAUGAAAGUUACUGUUGAUUAUGAAGAUGAUACCCAAUAUGCAUGUAACGAAACUGUAGAGAGAAUAUAAAAGUCCCACCAUUUCA